rnacentral:lncRNA from 1 species
GUCCGGACUCAGAUUGUCGAAAAAUCUCGAAGAUGUGAUCGUGGCGUCCCGCGACCGCUUCCAGCUAUUCCAGGGGACCUGGACCCGGACCGUGAAUGAGGCCUGGGCGGGUGAGUGCAGGGUGGGGAGGGAAAAGGCCUCUGUUGGGGAGGAGCGAGGGGACCCGCGGACCCGAGCGCUGAGCGCGGGAAAGCCACGUCUCCGCCAGCCCCGGCCUAGAACCCUCUGCAAAUCAGCUACUCUCUGUCCUGAACCCCGCCCCGUGCUCCCGCUCCCUCCUCUGCCAUCUGAAUCAGCCACGGCUCUUCAGAUCCCCGAUCGCUCCCCCACCAAUCCCACCUAAUGUUCUCCGUCGCCCUCCGCCCCUUUCCAUCUCCCGAGCCGCUGAGCCCCUCACACUUCCCGCCCCAUUAACUUGGGACUCGGAUUCCGCGCCUGCAGGAGGGUCGCGCCGGGUCUCCGCGGCUCCCCGUCCCCAGCUCCCACUCUGUGAUGUAUUCCCCAGCCCGCCCUGCUGCGGGGUGCCCCGCUUCACCGCCAUCCGUUACGAGGAGGACGCGCUGUUCUACAGCGACGCCGCCAGUCCUAGCACAGGGCCGCGGGCGCCGCCGGUGCAGCAGGAGCUGCGAGUUUUGGGAGAACCCAAGGAUCGUCUUGAGGUUGAACGUUUUCCAGUGAAACUGAGGGCGCCACUUGGCCACUACAACCGGAGCGAGGAUGGAUGCAACCGCUGCCUUGCGUGGGACUGA